AACAGUUCUCAACCCUUUGAGUGUUAACAGUAAACAAAUCAACAAAAAAAACUUUACAAAAUGUUCAAAUACGUCGUUGUUGUCUUGGCUAUGUUGUUGGGUUUGGCUUUCGCUGCUCCCAAUCCAGCUCCUGUUGCCAGCCCCAAUCCUGAUCCCAGCCUCUUGCCUUUGGGUCUACCAUUGGGCCCCGUUGUUGUAGCUGGCCCCAGACUAUUGCCUAGCUCCGUUGUAGUUGGUCCUUAUGGUCCAGUAAUUGUUGGUUAAAUUAAUUCGUCGCUUCGACAAUGAUUUCGCCUGCACCUAUAAUCGAAUUGCCAUCCUUUUGUAAUAUUGUUUUUUUGAAGAUAAUUUUGCGAGCACCCAUCGUGUACCCUGUUGUGAAAUUUUCGUCGUAAUUUCUUUUUUUAAGUUUUUUCUAUUACUUUUUUCUCUUUAUUUCUUUCUAUUUUGCAUUAACAUUUCGCUAUACAUAUAAACAAAAAAAUAUAUAUAAAACACAAAAAUGUAAAAAAAAGAAUUAUAAUUUUGUAUGCAACUUCAAAUAAAAAUUCAGGUUAACAUUUAAAAAAAUAAAAUAAUAA